rnacentral:rRNA from 1 species
GAUGAACGUUGGCGGCGUGCCUAAUACAUGCAAGUCGAACGGAGAUUGUAGUAAUACGGUCUCAGUGGCGAACGGGUGAGUAACGCGUUGGUGACCUGCCCCGAAGUGUGGAAUAACAGAUCGAAAGAGCUGCUAAUACCGCAUAAUAUCCAGAAGAUUAGACGCUUUUGGAUUAAAGGAUUUAUUCGCUUCGGGAGGGGCCUGCGUCCCAUCAGCUAGUUGGUAAGGUAAUGGCUUACCAAGGCUAUGACGGGUAGGGGACCUGAGAGGGUGGCCCCCCACAAUGGAACUGAAACACGGUCCAUACACCUACGGGUGGCAGCAGUAGGGAAUAUUAGUAAUGGGCGAAAGCCUGAACUAGCAACGCCGCGUGUGCGAAGAAGGCCUUCGGGUUGUAAAGCACUUUUAGAGAGGAUGAGGAAGGACGGUACUCUCAGAAUAAGUCUCGGCUAACUACGUG